AUUGGAUUGGGCCGCACGACCAUGUCAAAAUCCUAGUAAGACUGGCAUGUAUUUAAGAAGAUUAUAUGGAGAAGAGGUUGUAGAAGAAAAACAAAAAAUAUUCUAAAACCAAAUAUGUCACCAAACACAAUUUCAGAGAGUGCUACACCCUUGUUUGAGGCUAGCGAUCACCAUCACAACGAAGAAGAAGAAGAAACAAAUAGAGGGUGUUGUAAGAAUGUGUUGGAUGUGGUAGAGGCCAAGACCCAAUUGUUGUUUUCCCUACCAAUGAUUCUCACCAAUGUUUUCUGCUACUUAAUAACCUUAAUAUCUGUCAUGUUCGCCGGCCACCUUGGUGAGCUCGAGCUUGCCGGUGCAACUCUUGCAAACUCAUGGGCAGUUGUCACAGGCCUCGCUGUCAUGAUUGGGUUAAGUGGAUCACUUGAGACACUUUGCGGGCAAGGAUUUGGAGCAAAAGUAUACAGACUGUUGGGGAUUUAUCUACAAGCUUCUUGUAUCAUAUCCUUCCUCUUCUCUAUCAUCAUAGCCAUUAUAUGGUUCUAUACAGAGCCUAUACUAAUCUUACUUCAUCAAGAAACUGAGAUUGCUAAGACGGCCGCUCACUAUAUAAGGUUUCUCAUUCCUGGAUUAUUUGCAUAUGGCUUCGUGCAAAACAUCUUGAGGUUUAUUCAGACACAAUCUAUUUUGUGGCCCCUGGUCAUAUUCACAGGUUUACCUUUGGUUAUUCAUUCUGGCAUUGCAUAUGCUUUAGUACACUGGACAUCUCUCAGUUUUGUGGGAGCUCCAUUGGCAGCUUCAGUUUCAUUAUGGCUAUCAGUCCUUAUGUUGGCCAUGUAUGUGACUUGUACAAAGAAAUUUGAGCAUACAUGGGGGGGAUUUUCAUUGGAAUCAUUCCAAUACAUUCUUCCAAGCUUGAAACUAGCCCUUCUCUCUGCAGCAAUGGUAUGUUUGGAGUACUGGGCUUUCGAGAUUCUGGUUCUCUUAGCGGGAUUGUUGCAAAACUCAGAAACAACCACUUCAUUGAUUGCUAUGUGCGUGAAUACAGAAGCUAUCGCUUUCAUGCUCUCAUAUGGUCUCAGUGCUGCUGCAAGCACAAGAGUGUCAAAUGAGUUGGGAGCAGGCCAUCCCAACCGGGCAAAGAAUGCCAUAGGUGUGAGUCUAAAGCUCUCUCUCCUUGUUGGGGUCACACUUGUUUUGGCUAUUGCAUUUGGUCACAAUAUAUGGGCUAGUUUCUUCAGUGAUAGCUCUGAAAUCAUUAAGGAAUUUGCUUCAAUGACUCCUCUGCUUGCAAUUUCAAUAUUCAUUGAUUCAGUGCAAGCUGUCAUUUCAGGGGUGGCCAGAGGAUAUGGUUGGCAGCACUUGGCUGUUUAUGUUAACUUGGCGACCUUCUAUAUCAUUGGUUUACCAAUUGCAUGCGGCCUUGGAUUUAAGACGAAUCUGCAAGCUAAGGGUUUGUGGAUUGGCUUGAUCUGUGGCCUCUCCAGCCAAGCUGUUGCCCUCUUUUUAAUUACACUGCGAACCAAAUGGGCUAAACUAAGCCUCCCCGAGAAAGAUAAUAGAGAAAACCCAGUUUUGGUUUAAUUGAAUGACAAGCUGCGGAAAAGAGAUGAACAACAUGGCCUGCUUGGGUGAACUAGGCUGGGUUUGGAUAGCACUGAAAAGGAAAACCCAGCAUGCCUGCUUUUUUUCUAUGGAUCUCAUGCACUAUUCAUGGGACUCGCAAAAGGCCACAUGAGGCAGAAGAAUGGACGCCGGCAACAUGGUGGCGGCCUAUUUCAGUCAAAAUUGGGCCAUAUCGGCCAUUUCGACACCCAUUUUUGCCGGAAUCGGCCCGGUUUAGCGAGAAUCAGCCCCAAUUGGUGCAAAUCCAAAAAAAAAAAAAAAAAAAAAAAAGCGACACGGACACGCUGUCAGCGGCAUCGCACACCGCGUCAGGUGCGAGUGCGGCAACCCUGGAGCCACACCCGUACUUUCUAGGAUAAGCUUCACGGAUCUAGUGACAGGUGCAGAACUAUGUACAAUUGUGAGGGCCAUCGCCCCCCAGAAGUUUUAAAAAUAUCUCCAUUAUUGCUAAAAAUUAGCCUCAUGUCAUUAGGUUUCUUAGCAUUAUAAAGACUAUAUAUAAUGAUGGCAGUCGUAUAGUUUGUGCCAUCAUUCUUAACAAAGAGGUUUUUU